AAGAAUUACAUUGGUCAUAAUAAAUGCCCGAGGAAUGACCAUGACAAUCGAAAAGAGCCUGGAGCCGGAAGCAGUGCUCAACCCACUGCCGGGACCAUUAGUAUUAUCGUUCGGAGCAUAGCAUCUUGAGGAGACACAAAUAGUGGGCGAAAGCAAUAUGCCCGUCAACAUGCUCAUACCCCAAGGGAAUCCCGUGAUGAAGUCAAAGAUAU
rnacentral:lncRNA from 1 species